rnacentral:rRNA from 1 species
GACGAACGCUGGCGGCGUGCCUAAUACAUGCAAGUCGAGCGAGACUCUUCGGAGUCUAGCGGCGGACGGGUGAGUAACACGUGGGCAACCUGCCUGUAAGACUGGGAUAACACCGGGAAACCGGUGCUAAUACCGGAUAAUCCUUUUCCUCUCAUGAGGGAAAGCUGAAAGUCGGUUUCGGCUGACACUUACAGAUGGGCCCGCGGCGCAUUAGCUAGUUGGUGAGGUAACGGCACACCAAGGCGACGAUGCGUAGCCGACCUGAGAGGGUGAUCGGCCACACUGGGACGGAUACGCCGCCCAGGUUCCUGCGGGAGACAGCAGUAGAGAAUCUUCCACAAUGGACGAAAGUCUGAUGGAGCAACGCCGGGUGAUCGAUGAAGGCCUUCGAGUCGUAAAGCUCUGUUGUUAGGGAAGAACAAGUACCGGAGUAACUGCCGGUACCUUGACGGUACCUAACCAGAAAGCCACGGCUAACUACGUGCCAGCCGCCGCCGUAAAAC